GAAAAUUGCAAGUUGGAAGCAGCUGAAAUUCCCAAUUUGCCCUUCUCUGAACCCAUGACAUCAUCAGGUGCUCCUCGCUGUAAUCAUGCUUCUUUCUUUCUUUGCCGAAUUUCUAAUUGCAAUAUUAUGUAUGUACAAUAUGAUUGAGCUGCAAUUUGUUCACAAUUUUCAUGUAGUGAAUUAGUAAUAGUAUCACAUGUCUUUGAUGUCUCUAGUCUCAAGUAAUUAAUGAUAAUAAAUCAGAGAAGAGGAUAGCGAUUUGAUUCCAAUUCUGCUAAAUGUUGCUGCCAACACUGUCCGAUACAACAUUAAUUUAAGAUGCAAUGGGCAUUGGGCAACCUAUAACGAGUUAGGGGUGGUGUGUAUAUGCCUUAUGCAUGCUACUCUCAAAUAAAAUCGGUGGAUCUUGAACACUUGAACCGUUAAACCGUUUUAAUAGACCCUACUAUACUAUUCCUUAACGUUCCAAUUAUAUUUUUGCUAUCGACUCAAUAAAUGUAUGUCUCUUGACACUUUAUUUGACUCUACCUUUGAAGAUGCAGACUUUAAGUAGCUUCACCAACUCCUUUCUCUUCAAAUAAUAAGUAUCCAUAUGCAAAAUAACAUUCUACACAUGAUGAACAUUAUUGGUAUUGCACUUUUAAUAUUGCUUCCUUCCAAAUUCCAACCGUUUCUCGUUUCUCCACUGGGCAGUCACGGUUGCACUUGCUGUACUAUCUUCGUUUUUGCCUUCACAAAAAACAUGAAGCAUUCAACAGUAGUUUAUUGACUCUUAAUUAUUGCACGGUAAGGGUAAUAUGAUCACCAUCACAAAAAUUCCUACUUUUGA
rnacentral:lncRNA from 1 species